rnacentral:rRNA from 1 species
GAGUUUGAUCAUGGCUCAGAGUGAACGCUGGCGGUAGGCCUAACACAUGCAAGUCGAACGGCAGCACAGAGGAGCUUGCUCCUUGGGUGGCGAGUGGCGGACGGGUGAGGAAUACAUCGGAAUCUACUCUGUCGUGGGGGAUAACGUAGGGAAACUUACGCUAAUACCGCAUACGACCUACGGGUGGAAAGCAGGGGAUCUUCGGACCUUGCGCGAUUGAAUGAGCCGAUGUCGGAUUAGCUAGUUGGCGGGGUAAAGGGCCCACCAAGGCGACGAUCCGUAGCUGGUCUGAGAGGAUGAUCAGCCACACUGGAACUGAGACACGGUCCAGACUCCUACGGGAGGCAGCAGUGGGGAAUAUUGGACAAUGGGCGCAAGCCUGAUCCAGCCAUACCGCGUGGGUGAAGAAGGCCUCGGUU